rnacentral:rRNA from 1 species
UACGGAGGAUCCGAGCGUUAUCCGGAUUUAUUGGGUUUAAAGGGAGCGUAGGUGGAUUGUUAAGUCAGUUGUGAAAGUUUGCGGCUCAACCGUAAAAUUGCAGUUGAAACUGGCAGUCUUGAGUACAGUAGAGGUGGGCGGAAUUCGUGGUGUAGCGGUGAAAUGCUUAGAUAUCACGAAGAACUCCGAUUGCGAAGGCAGCUCACUGGACUGUAACUGACACUGAGGCUCGAAAGUGUGGGUAUCAAACAGG